rnacentral:lncRNA from 1 species
UGUGAAAACUUGAUGUUCGUAACGUCACAUACAAUAUAAAAACUUGACGUUCGUGACGUUACAUACCAAUUAAUGACGUCAUUCAAAAAAUUGACCUAUUUUGAGGAAAUUUUUUCUUAAGCAAAAAAAAACCAAAAAAACUGACUUUAUGUAAAAAAAAAAAAAAAAAAAAAAAAGGUAUGCGAUAUGGGUUUCACCAUGCGAUACGGGGUAUGCGAUACGGGUUUAGCUAUGCGAUACGGGGUAUGUGAUACAGGGAAG